AUGUCCACGUCAGCAUCCGGUUUGGGCAAACCACCCAGUCAACAACAAACCCAUGCUACAAGACUAGCCGGAAGAAUGGGAUAUAUGCCACCAGAAUACUUCAAUGGAACCCUCACGUUCCAAACAGACAUAUACAGUCUUGGUGUUAUAAUCAUGGAGAUGCUAACAGGGAAGAAGGGAUAUUGUGAUGUUGAAUAUAUACUCGAAAGUUGGAGUAACAGAAUCGACAUGUCACUGGAACUGGAACAAGUACGAGUAUGUGCUAAGAUAGGGAUAGAGUGCACUGACUUCAACCCAAGCCUGUCGUUGGUUGUCAAACAGGCAGAAAAGCCUUCCUGCUGUCCCACAGAAAGAAAAGAAAGAAAAAUGCUUCCUGCUAACUUUAGGACGAAGGUGCAGAUAAUCCAUGACGCAGAAGCUCUUAGGUGA
rnacentral:rRNA from 1 species